GGGGAAUUAAGCCUCUUACUUUUAAUUUUUAUUUGUCCUUACACUGCUCAUGGUGAAGCUCCUUGGGUCCCAGGGGAAUCACUACUCUGACUUCUGACAUAGUUCUAUAAUUUCUUUUUUUUUUUUUUUAAGAUUUUAUUUAUUUAUUCAUAGAGACACAGAGAGAGAGAGAGGCAGAGACACAGGCAGAGGGAGAAGCAGGCUCCAUGAAGGGAGCCCGACGUGGGACUCGAUCCUGCGUCUCCAGUAUCACACCCUGGGGGUGCAGACGGCACUAAACCGCUGCGCCACGGGGGUUACCCAGUUCUAGAAUUUCAAAUCCCACAGCAGAUUGUACGUUAUCUGGAAUUCAGGCUUCUUGUUGGAGGGAAAUAUGCUGACUAAAGAAUGAUGAAGGGACAACUGUCAAGUCUGACAGCCAAGAUAAUUCAUAUCUAUUGGAAGAAGUCAUUGAGAGGAGAUGAUCACCAGCUGACCUGUGAGUUGGACCCAGGCAAUCGAGGCUCUUUAUCUACUCCCCUGUCCUUGGAACAUACAUUCUGCUCUUCUGAGCCAAAGCUGUUUGAACUGUGCAGCCUUGAGCCUGCCUGGACUGAAUACAUGACUGAGCUCAGUUAAGGCUAUUGUAUAAACUUCUAAGGUAAAAGGUGGGUGUGGAGAUCUACUGGUCUUACAGCCACCCAGGACAAGCCUCCCAUAUAAGUUCCCUUGCUUAUUAAAACUGCCAUCUACCAAUCUGGAGUAAUCUGUCUUCUUCUUUCAUCUGUCCUGGCCCUCUAUGUGAGGACCAGUUUGCAAAUCAACAAGGUCAUUUUGUAAAAUUAUUUGAUCUUACACAUUAAUGUUCCCUUCAAGAUGGAAAAAUGCCAGAACACCACAUAAUGGUGCAAAGAGCUACAGAGCCUGAGAAGCAUAGUUUUAAUGCCAACCUCCUCCACUUGUCAGCUAUGUGAACUCGUAAAUUUCUCUAAUUGGGCUUCAUUGUCUUCACAUGAUCAGUGAUCAGUAUGUCUCCUUUAUGGAACUGUUGCAAAAAUUAAAUGGAAUAACUAAGGCAAAAAGUCUGGCCUACAAAAGAUAUAAGAGGACCAUUUGUCCUUUUUCCCUUUUCCCAUUGUAGCUUGGGUUCUCUUUGUGGGGACUUACUUGGCUUUAGAGAUAGUUAGUAGUUAUAUUUUUGAAGUAAAUUUUAGCACCAUCUUAACUUCGAAAUUUUAAAAUAAAAGAAGGUUGGCUAAUAGGCUAUUUUUGCCA
rnacentral:lncRNA from 12 species